rnacentral:tRNA from 1 species
GCAGCAAUGGCCUAAUGGUCAAGGCGCCCUCACCAUCACAUGUCUUGCAAACGCAAGCAUAAUCACCGGAACCCCUUCUCUUGGCCUCGCUCGAGAACUGAUCCCUCGAGGAAAACAGAUCAGGAGAUAACCGCCAGCGGAGAACUUGACAACACAAGCGAUACUGCUGGCGGGAAAACGGGGCGAUGGAUGGAUAUGGGGGACAUGUAGGUUCGAAUCCUACUUGCUGCA